UCAAGAGAAAACAGAAAAACCCUGACAUCCCCUUAAACCCUUCUUCUCCGCACAGCAAGAAGGGUUCUGCAUCACUUAGGGCGCCGAUUAGCUCUUUUGGCGGACCCCAAUUCUUGAACAAUUAAUUGUUUGUUUGAUUAUCCGUGAAGAGAUCGAGACCAAUCCGAUGGUGGCUUUCGAUCAUAUUCGGGACAUGAACGACAUUUCUCUGAAGCCUUGGUUGCUGCGUUCGCUCAUAAGAGAACACUUGCCGGACCAGAUGCGUCCAGUUAAGGGCGUUCCGAAGCUAUCAUAUGUUAUGUUUAUGGUCAAGACUUACCGACUGUUAUCGGAAUCUUCCGUUGAAAAAUCAAAUGACCCGAAGGUGUUCGAGAGCUGGAAAGCUGCUGUAGAUUCAUGGGUCGAUCGCUUAUUGAUGCUCGCAUCCAGCGAUAUGCCAGAUAAAUGCUGGACUGGAUUAUGUCUUCUAGGAGUGACUUGUCAAGAAUGCAGUUCUGAACGUUUCCUCGCAUCAUACUCCAUUUGGCUUCAGAAGCUCCUAUUCAAUAUUCAGCAGACGCCAGCAGAUUCUCAGUUCGUGAAGAUGGCUUCUUGUGCCUCCCUGUCGGAUCUAUUCACAAGAUAUUUUGUCUUUUCCCUCCAAAUUAGGCUGGGCAGCUUUCCAAGAGUAAAGAAAGAUGCCAACUCCCAGGCUAUUAAAGUUGUGCAACCUGUUUUGAAGCUUUUGAAUGAAGAUAGCUCAGAAGCUGUAUUGGAAGGAGCUGUUUGUUUGUUGUCCACCUUUAUAAAUUUCUUCCCCUCUUCCAUCAGUCGUUUUUAUAAUGGUGCUGAAACUGCUGUUGUUUCAAAAAUUAUGUCAGGGGACUGCAGUCAAAAGUUGUUGGAGGAACUUGGUGAUUGCCUAGCAUUGCUACCAAAAUCAAGAGGAGAUGAAGAUAGUUGGUCACUAAUGAUGCAGAAGAUUUUAUUAUCAAUCAAUGUGUACCUAAAUGAUACUUUUCAAGGUGUAGAAGAAGAAUCAAAAAGUAACGAAAUCAUCAGGCUAUUGGUUCCUCCUGGGAAAGAUCCCCCACCUCCCUUAGGUUAUUCAGGAGAAGUCUCAGAACAUACAACAAAACGACCUGAGCUGUUGCAAAUAUCCACUGUCUCUACCUUGAUGCGUUGUUGUUGUACAAUGCUUACAAGAUCUUAUCCUGUACAGGUGAAAGUUCCAGUCCGACCAUUGGUAACCCUUGCUCGGAGGGUCCUGAUGGUUGAUGGGUCCUUGUCCCAAGCCUUGUUGCCCUUCGUGACUUCCAUGCAACAAGAACGCAUUUGUUCUGAACUUCCACUUCUGCAUUUGUGCAGUCUGGAUCUCCUCAAUGCUGUCGUAAAGGGUGUGUGCAGUCAAUUGUUACCACAUGCAGCAGAAAUUGUGCUGCUAUUAACAGAGUAUUUCACUAGAUGUGCAUUGCCAGAUCUAAGGAUAAAGGUCUACUCAAUCAUAAGGAUUUUGCUUAUGUCCAUGGGGGUUGGAGUAGCAGUCCAUCUCAGCGAGGAAGUUAUCAAGAAUGCCAUUGCUGAUUUGGAGUCUAGUGCCCUUAAUGGUGGUGGAAUAUCUUCUAGUCUAUUUGCAAAGCCAUCCAGUGAGGUAUUGCUGCCUUUCCAAAAGAAACGGAAGCAUGAAAGUUCAAGUGAUCCUCCUGUAGAGCAGGCUGAUAGAGUUGAUCUGGAAGCGGGGAUGGUCAUUGACCCAGCUCCAAUAUCAGUAAAGAUAGCUGCACUAGAAGCACUAGAAGCAUUUCUGACUGUGGGUGGUACUUUGGGAGCUAACAGCUGGAGACCAAGUGUUGAUUAUCUUCUUAUAAAUGUAGCAACACAUGCAUGCAAAGGAGUAUGGGCCAAGGAGGAGAAACAUAUUUUUCUUUCCGGUGAAUCUGCCACAACCUGGGCAGAUUUUCAGCUUGCAGCCUUAGGUGCAGUUUUGGCAUCUCUUCUUUCACCUUCUCGUUUUCGGUCCCCAAUUCUACCUCGUAGUCUCGAGCUUUUCCAUAGAGGCACACGAGGAACCAGAACUAAACUUACUGAAUUCUGUGCUCAUGCACUUCGCUCCUUGGAAAUGCUUAUACAUCCUCGGGCACUCUCCCUUUUUGAUCUGUCAUCCCGCAGCACCUCCUUUGAUGAUGUUCACAGCAAGUUUCCAAAUGCAUACUCCUAUGAGGAACAAAAUUCUCCAGUUUCAAGAAGCAACCUUGGAAAGAGGCCAGUUGAUUUCAUCGUAGAGGAUGAUGACCUGUACAAAAGUUGGCUAGCAGAAGACGAGCAUGAGAUUCCUGCGACUGACCCUGGAAAGGAUAAAAUUUUUACUCUGAAACCUCCGGAGAUAACUAUAGAUCCAUCACCCGAGAAAAUUUCCCCUGUACCUGAUUCUCAGGGUACUAGAGUUCUUGAAAGAAGUGGACAGGAGUUGGCAUCAGCCAGUGCUGCUCAGGAGACCGAAGGAGAAGCAGAUGAAGCACCUCUGUUUCAAUAUCCCGCUAAGCAAGGUGAUCUAAUACCUGCUGUCGAAGUCUCUGCAGCGCCUCAACUCGGGGCUUUUUCAGAAAGUGGAGCAUCAGUUCCUGCAGAAGGCCCAUUGGCAACCCAUGCUGUGGUCGACAGGGCUGAAGCGUUUGCGACAGGAACUGUCACUACUACAACUUCUAGGUUGGAGAGAAGCCAGCAACUUGCAAUCGACUUGGAUAGUGAAGCAUCAAUGGAGUCACUUCCUGAUAUCGUCGAUGCAGAUCCAGAUUCUGACUAGGAUUUCCAAAUUUGGGUAACUUACAAUGAAAUCAAUCUGUGAAAUACACAGGAGAAUGCCCUCUGACCAGACCACCCAUUCUGGAUAUCUAUUUGACUUGGAUGCUGAGUGAAGGAAUCACUUCCUCAUAUCAUGGCUUUUCAAAAGUGAAGGUUGUAAGCAAGACAUGUAACUGUCAUAGAUGGUAAUCAGAAUUUAGAUUAUUUUCUCCUCGUCAUGUAACAUUACGUUCUGGUUCUGGUUCUGGAUUCUAUUUUAUGUUUUGUUAAAGAGACAGUGAAACUGACCAUGGAUUUCUGCGCUUGAUAUUUCUCAAGCAAAUAUCAAUUUUGACAUGUAGUUCUGAUUGCAUUUGUCU